CCCGCCCGCGAGGGCUGCCCCUGCCGUUGGCCGCGCAGCCAUCCCGAACCGGUGAGCUGGAGCAGCGUGGCCGCGCGGCGGCAGACGCGAGCGGCGGGCGUCCCGCUAGGGGGCAGGCAGCGCUCACCCAACGCCUCUGCGCCGCGGGGCCCGAGCCGCCGCGGCGAGUCGUCACCCGCAGGUUUUUAUGAACUCUUAAGAGCGUAAGUGUGGGCUAUUCCGGGACAGGAAUCACAUCUUAAGGGCUGAUUGUCCACCAGGAAUUUGACUGACAGACCCCGACCACGGAGAUUGUUUGCUCUGCACCACAGCCUUUCUGCUUCGUGCUAAGGCUCAGAACAACAUGGCUGAGACUCCAUGGAAUUUGAUGGCAUUUCUAUUGCGGACGGAGGAAGUACAAAUCUGUAGUGCGUCAUUCAGUAGCUCGGCACAGGCGGAUACAACCUUGUGUGAAUUGGGUUAGGUAAGCACUA
rnacentral:lncRNA from 1 species